UUUCCUCUUCAAAACCCUUUUUUCAUCGCCGCCACACUUACCUACUCCUUUGGUGGGUGAGGGAUCUUUGAGGUGAAGAGAUUAGGCUAUGGUUGGACGGACCUGGGUUCAUACAACAUCAUUGAGAGUCUCCAAUUUCUUCUAUGCUCAGUGGAAGAAGAAGCGUAUGAGGAGGUUGAAGAGGAAGCGCUGAAAAAUGAGAGAAGGAUUGAAGUAGAAGCACAUUCCGCAGUUCUCAACGGUUUAUCUAUGUUUAUCAUCUUCUUUAGGCUGAUGUUUUUUAUGUUUUUGUUUGAAACAUUCAUCAACAGUUGGGUUUUGAUUUUGUUUUAAUUGUGUACCAAA